GGCAUCUUGGCGGCGAAGGCGAGUGCGGCGGAGCCACCCUGGGAGCUAAGGUCGUCCGCGGUGACCGCCAGGAACUCGGCGACGCUGAGCUGCUCGGGCAUGAUCGGGCUGGGGUCCGGCGUGGGGCGCGGGACUCGGGGCCUUUACGGUUUACAAAGUGCUUUUCACAAAACAGAGACCUAGGCCGGUUGUGCGAGUUUUACAGUUGAGGAAACUGAGGCCCAGAGAGGGGACCUGAUCUCAGGGACUCACAGCUCUUAAAUAUGAGUUGGAGGUCAGAAGGGAGAGCACUCCAGGCAUGAGCUACAGCCAGUGCAAAAGUCCUGAAUCUGGAGAUGGAUUUUUGUGCCUUCAGAUCAUCGUGUUUAUGGAGGAAAAUGAUGUGUAAAAAUCUGGAAAGUUAGGAAGGGGUCAAGUUGUGAGGGGUUUUAAAAGCCUAACAGGAUUUUAUGUGUGAUUUUGGAGGUAAUAGGGAGGCACCAGGGUUUAUUGAGUCGUGGGGUGGGGGUGGGUGACAUGGUCAGAUCUUCCGUUUAGGAAAACCACUUUGGCAGCUGAGUGGAGAAUGGAUCGGUGUGGGGAGAGAUUUGGGGCAGGGGGCCCAAUGCUAUUUACAGUGGUCCAGAUGAAAGCUGAUGAAGGACCUGCACCAGGACCAUGAGUAGAGAGGAAGGGACAGAUGCCAGGGAUUUCAAGGUAACACAGAAUUGGACAUCAGAUUAGAUAUGUAGGCUGAGGGUGAGUGAGGGAUUUGAGGAUGACACCGAAGUAGCAAGACCAGGUGACUGGAUUGGGAUGCCCUUGACAGAAACAGAAAAGUUAGCAAGGGAGGGAGGCUUAGGGAGGAAAGAUUAUGAGUUCUGUUGAGGUAGAAAUACCUACCAGAUAGCCAGAGGCAUUUAGUGGACUGAGAAUCAAGAGAGAAAUUAGGGCUAGAUACAUAGAGAUCUGGGAAUCGUCUGUAGAGGGGGGGAUGGUUGAACCCUUUGGAGUAGAUGAGAUCACCUGCAAAGGAGAUCUAGAAGGAAGGUGUAGGAGAAGCAUGAGGAAAACCUAGAGAAGAAGGAGGAUCUGGGAGGGGAGGGCAAUCAGCACUGUCUGAGGCUGCAAGAGAGGUCAAGAAAGGUGAGCACUGAGUAAAAGCCAUUGGAUCUGGCAAUUAAGAGACUAUUGGUGGAGUUGUGAACUGAUGCAGCCAUUCUGGAGAGCAAUUUGGAACCAUGCCCAAAGGGCUAUGAGACUGUGCAUAUCCUUUGACUCUGUAACACCACUACUAGCAGUCUGUAUCCUAAAGAGAUCAUAUAAAAGGGAAAAGGACCCACAUGUACAAAAAUAUUUAUAACAGCUCUUUUUGUGGUGGCAAAGAAUUGGAAA